GUUCCUUCAUGGUAUCAGCCGCGCCAACAUUGAAAGUUUCUGUGAAAGUGGACCAUGGAUGUAUUAAGAGAACGUGGACUCGUUGACCAACGCUUUCCUGUAUCUUGUAUGUAGUAAUACCCGCUUCGACACACGAAAAUAAAUACACCCUCUUCCAAAAAGAGCUGUAGACACAGAGGGGGCGGAGUCUUCCAAGGCAGUAGGAGGAGAAGGAGGGGAGCAUAUAUGAGCCUAAGGAGCAGACAGACGCUCAGGCUUGGGGCU